rnacentral:rRNA from 1 species
GAUGAACGCUAGCGGCAGGCUUAAUACAUGCAAGUCGAGGGGCAGCGCAGUGUAGCAAUACAUGGGCGGCGACCGGCAAACGGGUGCGGAACACGUACACAACCUUCCUUUUAGUGAGGAAUAGCCCGGGGAAACCCGGAUUAAUACCUCGUAAUAUUAUGAUGUGGCAUCACAUUAUAAUUAUAGCUCCGGCGCUAGAAGAUGGGUGUGCGGCUGAUUAGGUAGUUGGCGGGGUAACGGCCCACCAAGCCUACGAUCAGUAACUGGUGUGAGAGCACGACCAGUCACACGGGCACUGAGACACGGGCCCGACUCCUACGGGAGGCAGCAGUAAGGAAUAUUGGUCAAUGGACGCAAGUCUGAACCAGCCAUGCCGCGUGGAGGAUGAAGGUCCUCUGGAUUGUAAACUUCUUUUAUCUGGGGCGAAAAAAGGGCUUUCUAGCUCACU